CCAAAAGCCAUGGAAAGUAAAAGAGGUGUAGGAACGAAUUUAAAGUUAGGGGGUUGGAAGCUUUCUACGCUUAUGGUAGAGAAUGAAACCAUUUACAUUUACGG